CAGACAGGUUUCUAGGUAGAAAGGGACGGGUGCCCAAUAAAACCCCUACCUUCAAGCCAGAGACAGUCUGAAGCCUGGGGUUAAACUGCGAGUUCUGGUGGCGUCCACUGACUGGAGUGAGAAGUUAUAGACCGCCUAUGGGUAAAUCAUCACGUACUUCCGCCUUUCUGCGUCCAUAAAAACCGAGGACUCAGCCACACUCAGACACACACGUCCGGACUACCCGGAUGCGGAAAGGAGUUACCCACCCUGGGUCUCCUGAGAGCCAUUUUGUAGCUCAGUGAAGCUCCUCUCCGCCUUGCUUCACCCUCCACUUUUCUGCAUACCUCAGUCUCCCUGGAUGCGGGAAAACAACUCUGGACCCACCGAAUGAAAGAAAGGAAGAAAAGAAGAAAGAAAAAGAGAAAGAAAAAAAGAAAGAGAGAAAGAAAGAGGAAGAAAAAGAGGGAGAGAGCUCCUGUAUUGGAGUCUCACUUGUCGCCCAGGGUGGAGGUCAGCAAUGAGAUCUUGACUCACUACAACCUCAGCCUCCCAAGUUCAAGAGGUUCCCCUGCCUCUGUCUCUCUAGUAGCUGGGAUUAUAGGCAUGUUUCAACGUGUCCAGCUAAUUUUUGCAUUUUAGUAGAGACAAGGUUUCACCAUACUGGCCCGGCUGGUCUCCAACUCCUGACAUCAAGUGAUCCAUCUGCCUCAGCCUCCCAAAGUGCUAGAAUUACAGGUGUGAGUCACCAUGCCCAGCCCAAUCUUUCUGAAUAUUAUUUUUAUGAUGCCCAAGAGUCUUAUUUUCAUAUCACUGUGUUAUGGUAUUAACAUUUGUAUCUCCUCCCAAUUCAUGUUGAAGCCCUUACCCCUAGUGUUGCUGUAUUCAGAGAUGAAGCUUCAAAGGAAGUAAUUAAGGUUAAGUGAGGCCAUUAGAGUGGUUUUCUCAAGAGAUAGGAUUAGUGUUUUAUACGAAGAGGAGGAGAGAACGCUC
rnacentral:lncRNA from 13 species